AAGCAUCAUCAGAGGUGUGUCUGGGAAAACUACCAGUGAGAUUUAAGUCACAACGUCCCAUUCUCCCUUUGAAAGUGCUUUCUAAUAACACUGGGCACAUCCCAAACAGCUUCCCUCAGCCUGGAGCACACCAAUCGCACCUUCCCACGCUCACUAAAUAGGGUGAAAAAAAUAAUCAAUGCCCAGAGAACCCAAAUCUCUUCAUUUCUAAAGUAAAUUGCAACUAUCUGUCUUGCUGGGCAUUUAUCCACAGGAGUGGCUCCUAAAUGAAUUUAGGAAACGAAUAUGACCUUUAAUAGAUAAUUUGGUGCCCAUAUGGAAAAAGAGAAGGCAAAACAAGAAUGGUGAGUGAAUGUUGGCCCAAAGUAAAAGUUCUAACUGGGGGGUGGGUGGGGAAACGAGAGACUUCAUCUAGAAAGGGGGAAAGGAUGAAAGUCAACCACGGAGCACAAACGAAGGAGAGAAAAUAGUGUUCCAUCUAAACCAUCUAAAGAUCCACUGGAGAGAUGAUGGAACUGAAACGGAGCAGGGAUUUCGGAGUUCAAAACUCCUUGACUCUACAAAUUAUUGCAGUUCUUUUAAAGGUCGGUGGGCUGAACAUCCUAAAAGAGGGUUGGCAGUGGGGAAAUCACUCUCGGGGCAUGGCAGGGAUGUGGGGACCCUCCUAAACUCAAGAAGCGGCUUCAGAUUAGGCCGGAUCGGGGAAGCUGGGGUUUCUAGAAUUGCUCCAGACUGUCCGGCGCUGACUGACCCGAGGGCGACCGCAGAUUCCACGUGGGAAUCCGGGAGAAGGAAGCGCAUCCUCCACAGCCACCAGGACGCUCGUGACACCGAGCUCCCCGAAGGACCGAGGAGCAAGGGGAGAGCAGGGUUCAGUGGGGCUCGCGGGCGCGGCCACUCACCGAUGCCGAGCCCCACGACCAGGCGGCCGGCCAGCAGCGUCUCCUUGUUGGCGGCGGCGGCCAGCACGGCGGAGCCCACGGUGCACAGGGCGCUGGCCAGCAGGAUGGCGCUUCGCCGACCGAGGGCGCCGUUCAGGGCCCCUCCGGCCAGCGCCGCGACGGCGGCCGC
rnacentral:lncRNA from 1 species